UCUAAUACAAGAUUUCAUUAAAAAUUAAUAAAAUUUCAAAUUAACAUCAGAAUGAAAAAAUUAAUUCAGAGAUCAAACAUUAAAAUAACAAUUUUUUAAACUAAUUAUCUUUAUUUACUUAUACUUACUAGCUUUAAUACCACCAUGAGAAACUUUUAACAGAGAUCAACAAAUUCAAUAUGAAAUACAAAUUUUAAAUGUAACUUAAUGUCUUCUUUUAAUUUCUUCUUUGUUAAAUUUUGUACUAUUAAUUUUUUAUUAAUGUAUUAACCCUUUGCACUCCUAUGUCGAGUAUGACUCAACAUUAGUUUUUAUUUCAGGAGCUACUUUGUCGAGUCUCACUCCACAUUCUUUCAAUUCCACCUUUUUUUGUGAAAUGUGCGAAAGAAAACAAGGAUUGCAUCCUGGAAAUUGUUUCAAGAUACACUUAAUACUUACAUACAUAAUACAUACACUUAAAAAUUACAAAAUACAACAAUAGCGUGAAUAAAACUGCUAUUUCAAUGAUUUUGUUUCUUCCUUUAUUUAUUUAAAUUGUCUUAUUUUUUAGUUAAAGUAAAUUUCAAAUAAAGCACUUAAAAGCGUUAGGAGCUGCUGGUAACAAAAUUGAAAUAAAAUUUGGAGUGCAAAGAGUUAAACAUAUUUUCUAAUAUAAUAAAGAUAUCAUGCCUUAAUUCUUUAAAAAAGUCAUAUCAUAACUUUCAUGUAACUAGUGUUACAGUAAUACAAUGAUAUUGUUAAUUAAUAAGAUCUUAAUGUAAAAAAAAUUAUGUAAUACUAUCAUAUUGUAGAUUAAAAUACCUAAGAUAAAAGAUAAAAAAUAAAUAUUUAACCACAUAGUUUAUACCUAAAAUAGGUGUGUGAAGAUAUUAAAAAAGAUGAGGAAUCUAAUUUUGAUUUGGUUUUAAAAGAAAAGUGGAUGGAAGCCCAGAAGAAUGAAGUGUUUCGUUAUAUAUUAAACAUUCAAGAUUCGAAAAUAUUGGAAGGCAAAUAUCACUUUUUAGUCCAGAUACAUCAGGGUGGCUUUCAACAGUCUUUGUGCUUUUGCAUCUGUGAACCAUCUUCAUUGGCAUUUAUACUACUUGAAAUGGAGGAUGUUACUGGAAUAUAUUUUUUAGAUUGUUGUGCAAAAAACUUCGACCCCAGAUCCACAGAAAAUCUAUGGGAAUUAUUAAAAAGACGAAUGUGUGAUUCGUAUGUUCCAUCGCUAUCAUCGGUCACUCAUUGAAUUGCAUAAUAGAAUUAAUAGAAGCAAUGCGAGCGAAAAUGAGGAAGAACAAGAGGACUAAAGUGGUAGGAUGCAGAAUACUGGGAAACGAAAAGGCACUGACAACAUGUCUUGGGAAUGCUAAAAAAGUAAAACAAGUAUGACAUAAGAAGAGUAUAAAAGUAUAAAGAGCAGAAAAAGAAGAGUAUAAAAUAUUAUGCAAAGAAAAGAAGAACAAAGAAAAACAAAGGCAGAAAUAUGGGCAUAUGUUAAUAAGAAGAGAAAGAAGAAAAGCAAGACAAGUGCUCAUAUAAAGAUGGAAGAGUGGAAAUAACAUUUCAAUGACCUAUUAUAAGAUAAACAAAGGAUAUGCAGGAGAAUUAGAAGAAAGGGAAAUAGAGGAUUAAAUAGGAAGAAUAAACAAGAGGAAAGCAGUAAGCAGAGACAAGAUAAAAAUGAAGCAUGAAUAUAUGGUGCAGGAGAAGCCAGAAGGAAACUAAAAAAAUAGUAAGAACAAUCUGGAAUGAAGAAGACCUCUCAAGAGAUUGGAGAAAGGGAGAAAUAACAGCCAUAAAUAAAAAUGGUAGUAAACAUGAAGUAUAUAACUACAGAGGGCUAUUACUAUUGAACACUGCGUAUAAGGUUUAUGCAAUGAUGUUAGAAGAAAAACUAACGAAAAAAGCAGAUAAGGAUUAACGUUAUUACAAAUCGAUUUUCACUACGCCAUGCCGUUGAAGAUUAUUCUCCGUAUCACCAUAAACGAAAACACAAAAGGUGAAAGAAUAGAAUGUGUAGAAUCUAUAAGAAAACCAAAAGAUGAAGUGAAUUAUGUUUUUUCCGCUGGAAUAUCAAUCAAGAAGUUAUCAUCCUAGAUUAUUCAAUUCAUCAAUUGUUAAGAACGCCUCAAAAAGUGUAACCAAGGUAGGCCAAUAUAGAAAUAUAUCACACUCACGAUGGAUGAUGAGACUGCGACGUCAUACAUUGAUACGAACUUAAACUUUAUAUUUCAAAAUACCUACUUAAAAGAAUCAGAAAUCAUCUCAAAAAAGGAAAAUAAAGACUGAAAGUAAAUCUAGUUUUGACAUGGAAAGACUUUUGGAAAUUCUUCAAAAACUAGAUAAUUAUAAAAGAGAAGGAACGUACUUCGCUUUAAAGCAAUUUCAUGGGACUCAAAAAGCCACAGAUUGGAUGUUAAACUAUGAAACAGAGUGAGAAAAAUUCAAGAUCCAAAUUAUGAGUAAAAAAUCAAGUGCUUGAAGAUGUAUUUGGAGAAAAUAGCACUGGAGUGGUAUCAAACAAAUCUGUUGAAGAACAAAGAAUAUAAUUGGGAAGAUUGGAGGACUUCAUUUUUCAAAGUUUUCAGCAAUAAAGUUUGGUCUUCAUCACGAUACGUGUAUAAUUUCAAAUAUAUUUCAGGUUCGUUCGUUGAUUACGCUAAAAAAAAGAACGCUUAAUAUUUGAAAAAGAGAGGAAGACUAUUGAAAACACAAGAAUUGGUUUGAUUGUUAUGAGAUUAUCUAUUCACAUUAAGGAUAGAAUCGAUAAAGAAACGAUACUCAACAGAUGAUUUGAUAAAAAUUUUGGGACAGUAUGAAGAUAAUUAUCACAAAAAAAUUCAAUAACGAAGUUCAGAUGAAAGGAAAAGAAAUGCAGGAGAUGAAGGUAUGUCUUGAUAGAAAUUAAAAUCUAUCAUUCGCGAAACUAGCUUUUGUGAAUCACUGAAUUUUCCUGGCCGAUUCCAUCCGGUAGAAUUAUGCAGGAACAUAAACAAGAAUGUUCAGAAGAAUUUCAAACAGGUAAAUUCACUUGAGAUAUUCGCAUCCGAAAACAAGAAGUCAAUAAGAUUGGAUGAGAAUGAAAAAACUAAAAACCCCGGAGAAGUAUAUAAACCAUUGAUAAAACACCGAGUUAGAAUCAAUGAUCAGAAAGAUGUUAAAGGUGUUUAUGACACUGGAGCCAAUGCAAGUUCUAUUAACCAAAAGAUUGUUGAUCAAAUAAAAGCAGAUCUAACCGAACAUAAGAGUAUUUUCAAAACUCAGUGGCAAUGACUCACGAGUGUCCGGGCGAAACCGCGAAUGAAGAUAAAUAAAAUAGAAGAAAUAAUGGAUGUUUUUGUGGUACGCAACGAUAAGUUCACAUAUCACCUUGUCCUAGGGUUGGACGCCAUAAAAAGUUCAAAUUAAUACAAGAUAAGGAUUUGAGAAUUGCUCAAAAAGUUAAAAAAAAUUGUUAUAGAAAGAUAGAUCACAAAGAAGAAGAAAUAAUAUCCGGGAAAAAUAAAGAAAGAAAGAAUGAUCAGAUGAGAAGAGAGAUAAACUUCAUUGAGUACAUGGAGAAUGAUAAAUUUGUUGACUACCUUGAACAUUUAAACAGACCAGAGAAAAAAGAAGUGCUUUGUCUUAUAGAGAAAUACAGAGAGGUAUUCGUUGUAGCGGCACAUGAUUUAGAGGACAAAUCAAAUCAUGUUAUUGUUCUGUGCCGGAGCAUCAAGACCGUUAGAAUACAAGUAACGUAAACUCCGGGCAGAACAAUGUCGCCGCUACAGGCAACCGUCGGGUCAAGACAAAUUCAAAUUUUUCGACUCUCCUCCGACCAGUAUAAAUAAACAGACACGUUCGCGGGCGAGCAGAAUAUAGUACAGCAUCGAGCGAAUGUACACAGAAAUCAUCAGCACUAACGGGUAUCUCCGCAAUACUUGUAUAUUGUGUACGUAGAGCUAUUUAAGGAGCAGAAAUACAUAUAACAAGCUGUGACAGCAAUAACUGCUUUUAUCAUUUCGCACUAUCCUUAACGUGUUAAACCUCUACAUUGGUGACCCUGACGUGAUCGUCGUGACAGGCGUGAUCGUCGUGAUAGGCGUGAUCGACGUGAUAUAAGUGAAAGAGGUGACUGUGAUAGUGCCGCUGAUAGACCAAUCACUUUUUUUUGUGUGUGUGCCUAAGCAUGACGAGCAAUCCCGCCAUUGCAGCCCAUUCGCUGGUCCGCGUGCCUCCGGUAAUGCCUAAGAACAUGAGACUCUGGUUCAGCAUACUGGAAGAGCAAAUGAAGGCAGUGGAUAUAACAGACGAUCGGGCGAAGUGUAGAGCCCUCGUCGGCUGCCACGAGCCGCAAUACCUAGAGCAAAUCGGGGAUGUGUAUUUGUCCCUACCAGCCGUCGGGCGGUAGGCCGACAAGCCUCAAGGCCGAACUAACGCGCGCCCUUGAGGAAUCGAAUGACGAGAAAUUCAGAAGGUUGAUGGAAAAGGAAGAGAUCGGCGACAGGAAACCUUCGAAAUUUUAUCAUGAUUUCAAAAGACUUGCCGGUCCUCUUGCGUCAGCCAAGUUUAUCCUCACUCUGUGGAAGAAUCGCCUACCAACGCGGAUCAGGUGCUUUCUGGCUGGAGUCGACGGCGACGACGUAGCUAGGAUGUUGCGGAUAGCUGACGAGGUACACGAGGAUCUCAGAGGGCGACCGGCACGCACCUCGUUUGGCGACCGUUGUCGAGCAGCCGGCACAACCCGAGACAACAAGCGAACCCUGACUUUCCGUCGUCAACGCCCUGAGCGAACAAAUAUCUCAACUGCGAGCGGAAAUGCGCACGUCGAAGCGCGAGCUUCGUCCUAGGCUGCGACCCGAAGCGGGAAGGCGUAACCGGCCGAGAUCAAGAGAAAGACCGAGAGAGAGAUCGGGAAACCUCGACUUCUGCUACUACCAUCGAACGUUCGGAGACCGGGCGUACAAGUGCCAGUCUCCGUGCAAAUGGAUGCAGGGAAACGGGGCCCGCCGUCCGUAAAAGCGGCAGACGACGACGGCAUGGGCUCCCGCCGCAUUUUUGUCACCGACAAGGCGACGCUGACGUCCUUUCUCGUGGAUACUGGGGCCGACAUAAGCGUGUAUCCCCGCAGCAAAAUACACCCACCAACCAACGAACAGAUGCGAAUACGAACUGUUCGCGGCCAAUGGGACGCGGAUCCCGACGUACGGCACCAUCGCCGUCACCCUCAACCUGUCCCUCAGAAGUGCAUUCACAUGGCGAUUUGUGAUAGCCAACGUCCAAUCACCCAUCAUCGGUGUGGACUUUUUGAGCCACUAUGGGUUGCUCGUGGACCCGCGAAACAACCUCUCAUCGACACGAGGACUCAAUUGACAGCAAGAGGAUACACCGGCACGACGGAUGGAGCGUCCGUAAGAAAUAUAGUCGGUGAAUCAGUGUAUCAUCGACUUUUGAUGGAGUUUCCCGACCUAACUCGUCCAUCUAUUUUCGGGCGUGAGAAGAUACGUCACGGGGUAGUACACCACAUCGAAACCACACCUGGCUCACCAGUCUACAGUAAACCCCGUCGCCUGGCCCCCGAUCGCCUCAAAGAAGUCAAGAUGGAAGGAGCAUACGACUGCCGGCGGAAUUUUUUUUACCAACAAGACAGCAGGCCACAGCGGAAUACGCGAACCGGCUUAAAAAACGAAUGGAAAAGGUCAGGCCGCAACCGGGCACGCGUCAUGGCGAAAGGAAAAUUUUCAUUUUCAAAGAAUUGGAUUCCUCGCCUUACGUUUUCUUACGCCACGACGCGACGGGUGGCCCUUUACAGCCUCAAUUCGAUGGACUCUUCAAAGUUAUAAAAAGGGACAAAAAAACUACGUUAUAAAAAUAAACAAUCGCGACGAGCAGUUUCCAUCGACCGUCUAAAACUCGCGUUCAUUGUUCCGGAUGAUUUAGAAGAUAGAGGCGUCGAAUCUCGUAACAUAUUGAUCUCCGUAGAUCAAACGAACAGCCGCGAUGGAAACGGCACAAACAGCAACGAUCAAACCAGGGAAGAAAACACCAGGGACAGAUACAAGUGGGGAUCGGUUUAGGAGCUGUUUUGAAGCAACCCCGAGACAACGGAAUAUUACAGCCUAUUGCUUACUUCUCAAGAAAAUUGAAACUGACAGAAUCGAAG